AAAUAAGUCCAUUAACAUGGUCUCUGCAGUUCCUUCCAACAUUUACAGUUUGUGGUUGUGUUUCUCAGUCUUUUAAAACCCGUGACAUGGAUUAGAUUUUUAAAAAGCAAAAAAUGAAACAAAACUAAAACUUUUCUUCUCCCCCCACUACAGCUUAUCUCCUGUUGAAAAUGAGACCAGCUAAUAUUACUAAUCUGCUACAUGUCAGGUCCUAAACUAAGCAUUUUAAUGCAUAGAUUAUCUAAUUCAACUUCCCUGACAACCCUAAAAAGUAGGUGCUAUUAUUAUUCCCAAUCUACAGAUCAGGAAACCAACUAAGAGGUUCAAUAUCUUGGCCAAGUCAUUAAGUGAUGAAGCCAAGAUUGGAACUUUGGUUCUAAACACUGUGCUCUUAACCACUAUGUUAUAAUGCCACACCAACUCAUUGGCAUAUUCCCCACCACCCAAAGUUUUGACUUUACUUACACACACACACACAAAAGGUGUUUUGGAUAUGAUCAUUUUUAUUUCCCACAUAUAAAAUUAUAAGGCUCAAUAUACUUUUCAAAAUUACACAGCCUCCCUCCCCACAUGUCUGGGUAUGAACACUUGAGUCCAAGUUUGAAGGUCAGGGUCUUGGGGAGGUUAAAUUAUAAUGAAGAAACAGAAAGCCGGGCCAUUAGUGCUAUAUAAAGUGGAGGGACUGGGUACUGGUUGGGUUGGAGGGGCCCACUGCUCCAGUAGUCAUGGCUUGUCUCUUUAUCUAAUCAUGAAAUCAAAAAUUGGUUAGAAAGUGGUUGUUACUAGAGGGACAGAACAGAAGAAAGGGUUCCAGUCCCAGUGAAGAAGGGGUGGGUGAUGCUGGUAGGACCCACCCUUCCUCUCCCCAGUUACAAUAUUUUUGGUUUCUGUGACCUAAAGUUUUUCUGUUAGUGGGAACAAGCUGCAGAAAUGAACGCCAGGAGUCCAACAACCCAUUCCCCUUGUCUCUUCCCUUGGCCUUUGAACCCCUCAGGGAUCCAGGCAUCUAGAUUCUAGUGGCCUCAGGAGCGUUGCCAGGUAUUUUGUUUGAGUCGUAUCUCAUUACCCUCUGCUCGUCCGCACCUAGCCUUGCAACACUUGGGCUCCUUAUUAAAUAAGUGAAUGUUUUCCUCUCCUGAACCAGUUUACGUACCACCAACCCCCACGUACUCCUUACGUGCGGGUCUUGGUGCUGAAACCUGGGCGAAUUGGCGUGCUAGGUGAACAGGAAACGGAAGCAGCCUCCUGAGAGGUCCCCACGUUCCGCAUCUAAUUGGCCUCCUAAAGUUUCCUCUUUACGCAUGCUCCCUACUCAGGGCCCGGGUCCAGAACAAUGCUCUAAAUCCCGCCCUGCCUUUCCGGCUCCGCCCCUGCUCAGGAGUCAAGCGUCCUCAUUGGCGAGCUAUGCCAGGCUGACCAGGUGCUAACACUUGCAAUGAUAAAAUUGAUAAUCCAUACGGAGAAUCGCCUCAACGGUGGGGCCCAAACCCAGUGUCGCCCCCCGGCUCUUCUACCUAACGUUGCCCACGGCUGGAUCUGUCCUGCCCAGGCCUCUAUUCUGUACUAGAGACCAGCAGAGCCACGCCCACGGGCGCUGAUCUCCCCAGAAGCACCGGCCUGUUCUUCCCACCAAUAUCGCCCUGGUAGGAGAAAAGCGCAGGUGCCUCACGCAGCCUCUCUGCAGCUUUUAAGCCCUCGUCUGUACUUUCUUCUCUACCAGCCUUUCCUCCCCUGCGCGGCCCCAGCCGUCCGUUCGUCCGGCUGGCUGGCUGGCUGGCUGGCUGGCUGGCUGGCUGGCUGGCUGGAGCGUCCUGAGCCCUGCUUCCGCGGGGGCUUUUAGUGGUGGCAGCUCUGUUACUUCCCAGAUGGCGCGUAGGGCCGAGCCCCCCGACGGGGGCUGGGGCUGGAUGGUGGUGCUUUCAGCGUUCUUCCAGUCGGCGUUGGUGUUCGGGGUGCUCCGCUCCUUCGGGGUUUUCUUCGUGGAGUUUGUGGCGGCGUUUGAGGAGCAGGCAGCGCGCGUCUCCUGGAUCGCCUCCAUAGGAAUUGCAAUGCAGCAGUUUGGGAGCCCAGUGGGCAGUGCCCUGAGCACGAAGUUUGGGCCCAGGCCCGUGGUGAUGGCUGGGGGCAUCUUGGCUGCCCUGGGGAUGCUGCUCGCCUCCUUUGCUACCUCCUUGACCCACUUGUACCUGAGUAUUGGGCUGCUCUCCGGCUGUGGCUGGGCCUUGACCUUCACUCCAACCCUGGCCUGCCUGUCCCGUUACUUCUCUCGCCGGCGAUCCCUGGCCAUGGGACUGGCACUGACGGGCGUGGGCCUCUCUUCCUUUGCCUUUGCCCCAUUCUUCCAAUGGCUGCUAAGCCACUAUGCCUGGCGGGGUGCCUUACUGCUGGUGUCUGCCCUCUCCUUCCACCUGGUGGCCUGUGGUGCUCUCCUCCGCCCACUCUCCCUAACUGAGGACCCUGCCAUGGGAGGUCCUGGGGCCCAACUUGCCUUCCUUCUUCAUCAUGGCCCCUUCCUCCGUUACACUGUUGCCCUCACCCUGAUCAACACUGGCUACUUCAUUCCCUACGUGCACCUAGUGGCCCAUCUCCAGGACCUGGGUUGGGAUCCACUGCCUGCUGCCUUCCUACUCUCAUUGGCUGCUAUUUCUGAUCUUAUUGGGCGUGUGGUUUCUGGGUGGCUAGGGGAUGCAGUCCCAGGGCCUGUGGCACGACUCCUGACUCUCUGGACUGCCCUGACUGGGGUGUCACUGGCCCUAUUCCCUGUGGCUCAGGCUCCCACAGCCCUGGUGACUCUGGCUCUGGCCUAUGGCUUCACAUCAGGGGCCCUGACUCCAGUGGCCUUCUCCGUGCUGCCUGAACUGGUGGGGACUGGAAGGAUAUACUGUGGCCUGGGACUGGUGCAGAUGGUAGAGAGCAUCGGGGGGCUGCUGGGGGCUCCUCUGUCAGGUAAGGAGAACAGGGUUUCCAGGUGGGCCAGAACUGCUGUAUCAUACCAUUUGGGGAGGGGACUAUUCACAUUAGAGUGGAUGUAAAUAUUGCUGUCUGAUAUGGUAUACUACACGGCCUGUAUAGCCAAUCAUAGCAGCACUGAAGUAGGUCCAUAGGGCAAAGAAAUUGGGGCUAUAGAAAGACUAAAAGGAGCUAUGUGGAACCCUUGGCAGGGUAUCUGCAGCUUGGGUUUUCAGAGGAUCUAGCUGGACCUGGACAGACAUAACAUGUCACUGUCUGCCCUUUCCUUUGGCCCAUUGGGCCCCAACCCAGAUGUCUGAGUCAUCUGACCAAAGUUCUCCAGCCUCCAGAUGCCAGAACCUUAGACCUGUAACAUUUUCCUCUUAACUAUUAACGGAAGGUGUAGAAGGGAGGGCCACAGUUGCCAGAAAGAAAGGCACAGGUGUGCCUGAUUCAAUUUGGAUUCCCAAAUCUCCACUGGCUGGUUUGGAGGUCCUUUUUGAAGACAAGAAGGUGAUUGAAAUGACCUUUUGAAGCCCCUUGGGAAGCCAGAGUUCUCAAGGCUACCUCCGGGAUGUGACAGGCAACUACACAGCUUCUUUUGUGGUGGCUGGGGCCUUCCUUCUUGCAGGGAGUGGAGUUCUCAUCACUCUG